rnacentral:lncRNA from 1 species
GAGGGAGGCUGACUGGACAUGGCUCAGGAACCUGAGCAAAGACUUGGGUGAUGAAGGAAUCAAAAUUCAUGACCCGCUAACAGAUAAGGGACAGAAAAGGAUUGCUCUGUCCAGGACCACCAGAACAAUGUGGAACGGACACAGUGGUAGUGGGCUUUCAUGGAUGCCUCAGGCUGCUCAACCAUAUGUAUGUGCCUGUGAAAUCUUUGCCCUGAAGAGAUCCGCCACAAUGAAUGGAGAAGACAUCCAAGCACCAGUGGGUAUUUUAUGUUGCCAGAGGUCUCUGAGGCAGAGAGAAUGAGCAUGCUUUCCUGUGCCUUUGUGCAGGGGAAAGCGGUAAGAGGAAAAGUAAACACGGGAACAGCAUUGUGUUCUGAGAUAGUCGCUGCCCCUCUGAUCUCAAGCCUUUUCCGUACAAAGCAGGCGCUAACCUAAUCUUUGUUUCUUCAAUCGUCCACCAAGGUUUUUUGAAUUUUUCCUUUUCUUCCUAUAGACACUCUCUCCUUAGGUUCCUAGGAAGCAGGCUGCUUGGUGGAAGAAAAGUGAGUCAUUUCCUCCUGUAGGGAGCAUUUCAAAUAAAUUAUUAUUUUUUUUAGUGCUGUCAUUUACUUCAUUAAACAUUGAUUUUGUCUAAGUUAAUAUUAGGAAAAAGAACUCUACUUGUUUUC